AAUCCCCUUGAAAUUAGAAAAUUAUUUUUUCCUUCUACAGAUAGAAACCUAGGGGAAAAAAAAUCAAACAAGUAAAGAUCUCCAUGUUUAGUGUUCAUUGUCUAGUGGUUCCAUUAAAGCCUCUUGGCACUGGAGCUACUAAAAUCAAAUCCACAGUACUGCUCAUUUUCAAACUAUUUAGCAGAACCACCCACUGCUUCUUAACAUAAAUAAUAAUUAUUUUCUCUCUCAUUUAACAGAUGAAAAAGUUGAAAUAUAAAGAAAAGCAGAUCCUGAGAUGAAUCUUUUAAAGUGAAUUUUAAAAAAGCAUAACCCAGUUAUUCUCUCGUUAAAAAUGUAGCUGUAUGAAAAUUUGGGGCGUCCUGCAAUGAGAGCAUUGUUGCGUCCUCCAUGGAGCAUCCACCUGAUGUCUUCAGCACCACAGCUUGGCCCAGCAGGUUCUUCUUUGCUGACAGCUCCAGGGGUUAACCUUUGGGCUGCUGUGGGGGCAGAGCUGGCAAGCUGAUUGAAACACAGCACUUUUUAAUGUUGUGGUGUCAUCCUUUAUUCUGCUCUGAACAGCACCAAGAACCCCAGAGACCUAAGGCACACCCUGGGACUCCAAAUGCUUCAGUAGUGAAAAUACCAUGGAUUAUUUAUAGUGAAAUUAUUUAUAUUAUUUCACCCAGCGAAAGAAAAAUGUGCUGACGUGGCCAGGUGGAAGGAAGCUCUUUUCCCACUGUUCUACAAUUAAAAUUCUAUGUGGAAUAUAACAUUGAAGAAAUAAAUCUCCCAGUGUUUAAUCAGAGAAGAUUCAGGGAUAUAAAUCACUGAGAAAACAGUGAAACAUCUUCUUACAAUGAAUGCAUAAAGGAAAAGGGCUGACUCUGCCUGCUUGUUUGUGAGUGCGUGGGCUGGGACUGCUUAAGGCAGCUGAAAAACUGAAGGCAAAAGGAAUCCCUGAGCUCAUGGGGUGCUCAAGAGCAGCAGCAGGACUGAGACAGUGACAUUGACAAUGGGGACACACAAAGAUAAGGUGUGACUUCAUCAGGCCCCUGCCCAGAAAAGCUCUCGAGCAUCAUUGACCUGUAGACUCCUGAGUGAUCUCAUUGAAGCCUGUGGAAUUUCAUCCAGGUUUAUACAGAAGUGCUGAGGGUUUGUAAGAUAUAAGGAAGUUAAACUAGACUUUUCUAAAGCCUUCUCACUGUAAUUGGUUCAGUGCCAGCACAGAGGCACUGACUGGGCUUUGGAAGUGCACCUCAAAGCCUGGUGCCACUCUCAUUGGGCAAAGUGCCAAAUAACCCACCUAGGUCAUUCAGUAGUUAAGAAAGAGCACAAAAGAACUUGAAGGUUUUUUUGGAACGCCUUAGCCAGUGUAAGAGUGUCUU